rnacentral:rRNA from 1 species
AGUACGUUCGCAAGAAUGAAACUCAAAGGAAUUGACGGGCGCCCGCACAAGCGGUGGAGCAUGUGGUUUAAUUCGAUGAUACGCGAGGAUCCUCACCAAGGCUUAAAUGUAGAUCGACCGGUUAGGAAACAGACUUUUCGCAAGACAAUUUACAAGUCUGCCGCAUGGUGGUCGUCAGCUCGUGCCGUGAGCUGUCAGCUUAAGUCCUAUAACGAGCGCAACCCCUGUCGUUAGUGGCCAGCGAGUCAAGUCGGGAACUCUAACAAGACUGCCAGUCCAACCUGUGAGGAAGGUGGGGAGGACGUCAAAUCAUCACGGCCCUUACCCCUUGGGCUACCCACGCGCUACAAUCGCCGGUACAGAGAGCAGCCACUGGGCGACCAGGAGCGAAUCUACAAAUCCGGUCACAGUUCGGAUCGGAGUACGCAAC